rnacentral:tRNA from 1 species
GGCGAGAUAGCUCAGUUGGCUAGAGCACACGGUUCAUACCCGUGGUGUCGAGGGUUCGAAUCCCCCUCUCGCUACGA